rnacentral:rRNA from 1 species
AUGAACGCUAGCUACAGGCUUAACACAUGCAAGUCGAGGGGCAUCAGGAAGAAAGCUUGCUUUCUUUGCUGGCGACCGGCGCACGGGUGAGUAACACGUAUCCAACCUGCCCUUUACUCGGGGAUAGCCUUUCGAAAGAAAGAUUAAUACCCGAUAGCAUAAUGAUUCCGCAUGGUUUCAUUAUUAAAGGAUUCCGGUAAAGGAUGGGGAUGCGUUCCAUUAGGUUGUUGGUGAGGUAACGGCUCACCAAGCCUUCGAUGGAUAGGGGUUCUGAGAGGAAGGUCCCCCACAUUGGAACUGAGACACGGUCCAAACUCCUACGGGAGGCAGCAGUGAGGAAUAUUGGUCAAUGGGCGCUAGCCUGAACCAGCCAAGUAGCGUGAAGGAUGAAGGCUCUAUGGGUCGUAAACUUCUUUUAUAUAAGAAUAAAGUGCAGUAUGUAUACUGUUUUGUAUGUAUUAUAUGAAUAAGGAUCGGCUAACUCCGUGCCAGCAGCCGCGGUAAUACGGAGGAUCCGAGCGUUAUCCGGAUUUAUUGGGUUUAAAGGGAGCGUAGGUGGACUGGUAAGUCAGUUGUGAAAGUUUGCGGCUCAACCGUAAAAUUGCAGUUGAUACUGUCAGUCUUGAGUACAGUAGAGGUGGGCGGAAUUCGUGGUGUAGCGGUGAAAUGCUUAGAUAUCACGAAGAACUCCGAUUGCGAAGGCAGCUCACUGGACUGCAACUGACACUGAUGCUCGAAAGUGUGGGUAUCAAACAGGAUUAGAUACCCUGGUAGUCCACACGGUAAACGAUGGAUACUCGCUGUUGGCGAUAUACUGUCAGCGGCCAAGCGAAAGCAUUAAGUAUCCCACCUGGGGAGUACGCCGGCAACGGUGAAACUCAAAGGAAUUGACGGGGGCCCGCACAAGCGGAGGAACAUGUGGUUUAAUUCGAUGAUACGCGAGGAACCUUACCCGGGCUUAAAUUGCAGUGGAAUGAUGUGGAAACAUGUCAGUGAGCAAUCACCGCUGUGAAGGUGCUGCAUGGUUGUCGUCAGCUCGUGCCGUGAGGUGUCGGCUUAAGUGCCAUAACGAGCGCAACCCUUAUCUUUAGUUACUAACAGGUCAUGCUGAGGACUCUAGAGAGACUGCCGUCGUAAGAUGUGAGGAAGGUGGGGAUGACGUCAAAUCAGCACGGCCCUUACGUCCGGGGCUACACACGUGUUACAAUGGGGGGUACAGAAGGCAGCUAGCGGGUGACCGUAUGCUAAUCCCAAAAUCCUCUCUCAGUUCGGAUCGAAGUCUGCAACCCGACUUCGUGAAGCUGGAUUCGCUAGUAAUCGCGCAUCAGCCACGGCGCGGUGAAUACGUUCCCGGGCCUUGUACACACCGCCCGUCAAGCCAUGGGAGCCGGGGGUACCUGAAGUACGUAACCGCAAGGAUCGUCCUAGGGUAAAACUGGUGACUGGGGCU